UACGGAGGAUGCAAGCGUUAUCCGGAAUGAUUGGGCGUAAAGCGUCCGCAGGUGGCUAUGUAAGUCUGCUGUUAAAGAGUGAGGCUCAACCUCAUAAGAGCAGUGGAAACUACAUGGCUAGAGUGCGUUCGGGGCAGAGGGAAUUCCUGGUGUAGCGGUGAAAUGCGUAGAGAUCUGGAGGAACACCGAUGGCGAAGGCAGCCUUCUGGGCCAACACUGACGCUCAUGCACGAAAGCGUGGGGAGCAAACAGG
rnacentral:rRNA from 1 species